AGGACAGGAGACGGUAUACAAAAGAACAGUGUUUAUUUACAAUUUGUGAAACGGGAGUCUGGACCUGGAACAGAAGGGAGGCAAAGGGUCGGGAGUGGGGAUCCACACAGAGAGGUCGAUCCGGGGUCCAAGGGUGAAGGUGCACAGGUGAGUAUUUACAAGAGGUGGAGGCAGCGGAGGAGCAAGAGGAUCAGGUGAGUGGCUCAUAAAAAGUUCCGGGCAGCGAGAGAGUCUUGGUGGCAGGUCCAGCAAAAACAA